rnacentral:pre_miRNA from 1 species
CUAUCAAUUACCUGGGUUUCUUGUUAAAAUGCAAAUUUUUAUCCUAUUGAGCUGGGAAAGGGCCUGGGAUUCUGCAUCUUUAACAAGCUCCAAGGUCAUGACUGA